AUCCUCGUGGUGUAGUGGCGAAGGCUCUUGUUUUGUAGUCUAGAGAUCCCGGGUUCGAACCCCACCGAGGCCG